GGAAAGAGUUUGAUCCUGGCUCAGGACGAACGCUGGCGGCGUGCCUAAUACAUGCAAGUCGAACGGUCUUUUCUAUGGAAGCUUGCUUCCACUGAGAAGAUAGUGGCGAACGGGUGAGUAACACGUGGGUAACCUGCCCAUAAGAGGGGGAUAACAUCCGGAAACGGGUGCUAAUACCGCAUAGUUUUCUUAAUCGCAUGAUUGAGAAAGGAAAGACGGCCUUUGUGCUGUCGCUUAUGGAUGGACCCGCGGCGUAUUAGUUAGUUGGUGAGGUAACGGCUCACCAAGACGAUGAUACGUAGCCGACCUGAGAGGGUGAUCGGCCACAUUGGGACUGAGACACGGCCCAAACUCCUACGGGAGGCAGCAGUAGGGAAUCUUCCGCAAUGGACGAAAGUCUGACGGAGCAACGCCGCGUGAGUGAAGAAGGUUUUCGGAUCGUAAAACUCUGUUGUCAGAGAAGAACAAGUUGGAGAGUAACUGCUCCAGCCUUGACGGUAUCUGACCAGAAAGCCACGGCUAACUACGUGCCAGCAGCCGCGGUAA
rnacentral:rRNA from 1 species